AUGCCCAGGAUUGCAGAAUGGCCCCUGGACCAUGCACACAGGAGGAGGAAGCCUGCUGAGCCAGGAGAUGAGAUCAACUGGAUCUGCAAUGUUGACGAUCUCAUCAAAAGUGAUGUUUCCACUGUGCUUAAUGUUUUUCUGCUUCUUUCUGUCCCUUGGUGGUUCCUUGAGGGCUUUGAUGAUCAGGGCAGAAGCAGAAGGUACCACCUCAAUCUGGGCUUGUCUGUUCUGAAUGGUCAGUUUCACUGUAAUCCGCAGACCCUUCCAAUCACCAGUUGCCUUGGCAAUGUCAUCACCGACCUUUUUUGGAGACAGACCCAGAGGGCCGAUCUUGGGGGCCAGGGCAGACGUGGCACCGACUUCCCCACCGGUACACCUCAAGUACACGACUUUGAUCUCGUUGGGGUCGAACUUAGGCGGCAUGGUGGAGGCGGCUGGUGUCGGAUGAACCCGGAUUCGGGACGACCGAAGAAAGUUGCACCUUUGCCUCCUCCGAGCCGAAAGCUGAAAGAUCUGGAAGGUGGGUUCAUAAUCCAAACAAACUCUCCCUUUCCUACAAGGCUCAUUCCAUCAAAGUGCCACAGAUUCCUGUGGUUUUUACAGCUGAAGCCUCUGAGGUUACAAAAGGUGUAUAACAUUAUAUUGUUGAUUAGCAAAGACGUGUUUCCAGGUGAGAAAAGCUGGAUAAAGUGCGUGUGUGUGUGUUUGCUCAGUCGACCGACUCUUUGCGACUCCAUGGACUUGUAGCCUGCCAGGCUUGCUGUCCGUGGAAUUCUCCAGGAAAGAAUAAUGGAGUGGGUUGCCAUUUCCUCCUCCAGGGAAUCUUCCUGACCCAGGGAUAGAAGUCUUGAAUCUACUGCAUUAGCAGGCAGAUUCUUUACCACUGAGUCACCUGGGAAGCCCGGAUAAAGUGAGACUUUGCUAUUAAUAUAUAACAUUUUCCCACUGUAGAAAAAGGCAGAACGAAUGUUGGUCCCUUUUUCUAGACUACUGACUGCAGUUCUCUGAAAACUAGAACAAAAAGAAAAGCAAUACCUUCUUUGCAUUUUACAAUACUAUGUCCACCUGAAAUUGUGUUAAGGGAUUGUUUUCAUCCCUCUCUACUCUAUUAUGAACUGAUGGGCUUGACUGCAUUUUAAAAGCCCACAAGCUGAGAAACAUCUUUUAAUUCCUAAUGCCCGGUCAUGACAUCUCAUUGAAAAAUAUUUUGCUUCUCUUUUGUGUGGACAGUAAAGAUAAAUCAGGCUCAGAAUCUAAGAGGAAAAAUCUUCUGGGCUAUCAGAAGAAUCAAAGUUGCAUUUAUAUAAAUUUAGAUUAAUGAGUAAGACCGGCAAGUGGGAAAUGUAAAGUUCUCAUCAAAGGAUACCUAUAUGUCAGUUAUCAUCAUUACAACAUAUUUUAAAUAUGCAAACCAUGAAUAGAUUAACAUUUAAAAGGAUAUAAAGUUUAAUUAAAAUGUGAUCAACCUCUUUUGCCAUAUAUUGCAGACAUACAGUAGCUAAUAUUAGUAUGCACACCAUUUUGAUUUUAGUGUUUAACCUUACAGAUUUUUUUCUCUUCUCAUAAAAAUAAUUUAUCUUGACAUCUUUUAAAAUUUUAUUGACAUAUAGUUGAUUUCUAAUAUUAAUUUCUGCUGUACAGCAAAGUGACAUUAUACUUAGAUAUAACUAUACAUAGAUAUAAUUUUUCAUAUUUUUACAUUAUGGUUUAUCACAGGAUAUUGAACGUAGUUCCCUGUGCUAUACAGUAGGACCUUGUUUCAGAUGUUAUUUUAAAAUAAAAUAUACAGAUAUUUACACAUACACAAAUACAAAAUAUAUAUGUAAUUUCAAAUACUAUGUGUUAUAUGCAUAUGAAAGUAUAUAUUUUUCUUCACACAAAUGUGUUUCCUUAUCAGUACACAGAAGUGUUAUCAUUUUCAGCAUCUGCAAAGUAGGCCACAGUAUGUGUAGCUGAACCUUUUUCUAAGAAAUGAAACUCUACAAAUAAAUAUUAUAAAUUUUCCUACUUUUUCAUAUCAGUUCAGUUCAGUUCAGUCGCUCAGUCGUGUCCGACUCUUUGCGACCCCAUGAAUCGCAGCACGCCAGGCCUCCCUGUCCAUCAACAACUCCCGGAUUUCACUCAAAUUCACAUCCAUCGAGUCGGUGAUGCCAUCCAGCCAUCUCAUCCUCUGUCCUCCCCUUUUCCUCCUGCCCCCAAUCCCUCCCAGCAUCAGAGUCUUUUCCAAUGAGUCAACUCUUCGCAUGAGGUGGCCAAAGUAUUGGAGUUUCAGCUUUAGCAUCAUUCCUUCCAAUGAACACCCAGGACUGAUCUCCUUUAGAAUGGAUUGGUUGGAUGUCCUUGCAGGCCAAGGGACUCUCAAGAGUCUUCUCCAACACCACAGUUCAAAAGUAUCAAUUCUUCAGC
rnacentral:lncRNA from 1 species